CUCUUUAUGGCUGGGAGACUCUCACAGCUCUAAACUGCUCCUGUGUUUUCUGGGGACUUCACAAGUUCCCAGAGCAAUUUAAACUCGGCGUGGUAAAGCAGGCCUUAAAAGUUCCCUUCCUUUUUCUCACCUUUUAGGAAGUGGCAUCAAACUGUCCUUUCAAAAUGAGUCUGCGUUUAUGAUUCAGCGCUGUGCAGCAGCCCCAGGGCCAGCCCAGGUGUGGCUCUGUGUCUCCUCUUGCUUGGUGACCUGCCCCAAAUCCAGGUCCUGUUCCGUCACCUCCUCCUGAGCCUCUCCCGUUAUUAUUGAUGGGCAACAAGCACACAAAAGUUCAGCCGUAAUUUCUCUCCUUAAAACCGGAAUGGAGGCUUUGGAAACAGCUUCAUUUUCAGCAAUGUGCUGCAACUUGCACUCCAAGCAGAAAUAAAAACGCCCAUUUCACUCUGUAACUGACUUUA
rnacentral:lncRNA from 1 species